AGCUUCUUUUUUCUUAAGUUUGUUGAAAUUGUUAAGCCUGCAGCUUGUUUCUGCUUUCUAGCUAAAUGCUGUCUGGCAUGUGAGGGAGUAGUUGAUGUUGUUGGAGUCUGCGUUUGUGGAGAAUAGUACAGGGGAAGAUUUGGUACUGCUGGAGAAAGGAAAGAGGUUAUCUGGAUUUCAGCUUCCAUCAUCUAUUGUGAGCACAGGUUCCAUCCUCACCCUCUGUUUCACCACAGACUUUGCUGUCAGUGCUCAAGGUUUCAAAGCUAUCUAUGAAGUAGACUGAAAUGAGUUUGGCAGAGUUACAAAGCUGUCCACUUAGCUAUAGGGAGAUGCUGAGGGGAAUGGACUUCCUCCACCUGCAGAGAGAUGGCUACAAGGGGACCUAACAGCAUAGUCCCUUAGUGCCAUAAAAGGAGGUUACAAGUUGGGUGGAGCUGCUAUCUGCUUUCAGGAGAAAUACUAAGAAAAAAAGACAACAGUUAAAAAUGAAGGGAGGAUAUUCCAGCUGGAUACAAGGAGGAAGAAAGUAAAUCUGAAGACAGUCUAACACUGGAGCAGGUUACCCUUCGCCAGUUUUAGUAUCUCCGUCCUUGAGGAUUUUCAAGAUCUGAAUGGAAAAUGUUGUGAGGAACUGGAUCUGAAUUUGAUGUUGACUCUGCUUUGAGCUAGUGAUUGUUUCCUGAGAGUUUUCAAAUUGAACAGUUUGUAUGGAAGUGGUUACUUGCAUUUAAAGUGUCCUGAUGUUAACUUCACAGUAAACUAUUUCACUCAACUGGGAAUGGAUCAGAUCUCUGUUGAUUUUGAAGAGAAAUUAGCAAGUACAUCUGUAGGUGCCUUCAUGAAAAUUUCUUAAACUGAGUCUCAUCUCUAAAAGUAGAACAAAUCUAAUCUGGGGAUAUGGACUUCCUCUUCCAAGAGAGAGAAACGGACACCUCUGAAGAGCUUUCAUCUCAGUUAUCUUUGAGAGCUAUUUUAGGAUGAGAUGAAUCACUUCUUUGCCAUUUUUUUCCCGUCCCUGAAGCCUAUAUUUAAAAAGGGAAAAUAAUGUUGAAAUUUUAACUUUUCACUUAUUGAUAGGAAAUCAGUGAUCCUCGUUUUCUCAAAAUAUUUGUGUAAAAAUCAAGCCCCCAUUGUGUUCAAUCCAAACAGAAUUAAUGCUUAUUAAGGAAAAAAUUAUUAUAGAAUCUGUUGAACUCUUUCUAGACCUUUUAGCAUUUGAAUUGAAGUACUGCAUGGUGAUUAACUUUCAAUACCUUACUCAGGGUCUGACCUAUCUAGGAGAAAAUUGUUCUGCUCUAAAGACAUAGCUUCUAUACUUAGAACAAUUUCAUGUUUCAUGAGUUUUAAAGUUUUGGAAAGAAAAUAAGUGUUGUAUAAUCUGGAGACAAAAUAAUUUGACAUUUUUCUAUUUCUUGUAGAAGAUGAAGGCUUGAGCUGAGUUGCUUUGUGUUACUUAUUGAGGGUGGAAAAAAAAUGAUUUAGCACAGCAAUUUGUGACAUAAUUACUUGCUUCACUUCACUACUUUGAUUUGCUGAGCAAUUAUCUCAGUUUGGGCUACUUGCACAGUUAAGGCCAAGUACUAAGUCAAGAUGAAUCUUGUAUUGUACCAGUAAUUGUGUCAGUGCACUAUUAAUAAAUAAAUAAAUAA
rnacentral:lncRNA from 7 species